UUAGAGUUUGAUCCUGGCUCAGGAUGAACGCUAGCUACAGGCUUAACACAUGCAAGUCGAGGGGAAACGACAUCGAAAGCUUGCUUUUGAUGGGCGUCGACCGGCGCACGGGUGAGUAACGCGUAUCCAACCUGCCCACCACUUGGGGAUAACCUUGCGAAAGUAAGACUAAUACCCAAUGACGUCUCUAGAAGGCAUCUGAAAGAGAUUAAAGAUUUAUCGGUGAUGGAUGGGGAUGCGUCUGAUUAGCUUGUUGGCGGGGUAACGGCCCACCAAGGCUACGAUCAGUAGGGGUUCUGAGAGGAAGGUCCCCCACAUUGGAACUGAGACACGGUCCAAACUCCUACGGGAGGCAGCAGUGAGGAAUAUUGGUCAAUGGACGAGAGUCUGAACCAGCCAAGUAGCGUGCAGGAUGACGGCCCUAUGGGUUGUAAACUGCUUUUAGUUGGGAAUAAAGUGCACCACGUGUGGUGUUUUGUAUGUACCAUCAGAAAAAGGACCGGCUAAUUCCGUGCCAGCAGCCGCGGUAAUACGGAAGGUCCAGGCGUUAUCCGGAUUUAUUGGGUUUAAAGGGAGCGCAGGCGGACCUUUAAGUCAGCUGUGAAAUACGGCGGCUCAACCGUCGAACUGCAGUUGAUACUGGAGGUCUUGAGUGCACACAGGGAUACUGGAAUUCAUGGUGUAGCGGUGAAAUGCUCAGAUAUCAUGAAGAACUCCGAUCGCGAAGGCAGGUAUCCGGGGUGCAACUGACGCUGAGGCUCGAAAGUGCGGGUAUCAAACAGGAUUAGAUACCCUGGUAGUCCGCACAGUAAACGAUGAAUACUCGCGAUUUGCGAUACACAGUAAGUCGCCAAGCGAAAGCGUUAAGUAUUCCACCUGGGGAGUACGCCGGCAACGGUGAAACUCAAAGGAAUUGACGG
rnacentral:rRNA from 1 species